rnacentral:lncRNA from 1 species
CGCUUAUCGGUACCGGUUCAGUGUACCUUGGUCAUGAUAAAUACUAAUAGUCUUGAUGUUUACUAAGCUAAUUUAUUGGCAUAAAGGAUGGUGGUACUACAAUUUCCGUGGUUUGAAGCUCCUCCUAGUAUCCAAACAUGGGUAUGAUAAACUCCUUAUAGUUUGCUCGUACUACUUAAUGACAUGAAAAUGAAUUGCUACUUAUUUGCUUUAUGUGAAUGCAUGAACAUGACAAAAAGUUACUCUCAAAAUUCACAAGCUGCGCAAUGAAGAUAAGAGAUGCAAACCAAGAGACAUUUCUGCUGGACUUAUUGAAAUUAGUUUCUAGUUGGUUUUGGCCAAGAUUGAUCCUUUUCUUUAAAGUAAUGAUUAGGCUCGCCUGAAUGCUUCCAUUAAGUAAAUGAAAGGAUGAUUGAUCUAUUCUCAAGCCUAAGAAUCCCUUAUAGGGUGCCAUUUCAGAGUUGAUUUUUUCUCAGUUUCUUUCUUUUGACAAUGAUGCUUAUUUGAUGCUGGGUUCUUGUCUUCUUGUUACUCCGGUUGGGUGCCUUAGUGUUAUUAGAGGUAGUUUUUGCAUUGUAGGACAACUAAAGUCAGCUUCAAAUAAUUAGGACAGCGUUUGAACAUUACUUACAGUUAUGAUACAAAUUUUCAAUUUUGCAAUGUAUAGUUUGCAACUUGAUAGGUUGGUCUUUCAUUUCCUAUAUUGCUCCAAGUUUGCCAUUGUCAAGUUACUGUGAAGAACGAAAAAUGUUAAUUUGGGUUAAUAUAGGCAGGUAAAAUAUGUUAUGAAAGAAGGCAUAUUGGUUGGUUGGUGUAACUUUUUUGUUACUUGAAGCAUACAAAUAUAUGUCAAUCAUUAGAUGUGAUAUAUGCUUGUCUGCUUUGGUUACUUGUGUUGUGGCGGACACUUCCUGCUUUUGGCAUUUUUCGAAUGUUAUGAAACUUUUUUUAGGUUACAGCUUACUGCUUAUCUUAUUUGUGUUUGCAUUUGUCAUGUUUGCCAGAUGUUCUAGUAGAAUGGCGUAAACAUAAGAUGCACUUGUUUAAUCAUCUCAGCUCUUCCAUAUAACAUUGAUGAGGAGGAUGUUGAUGAGUCAUCCAUAACAAGGAACCGGCAAGCAACUAAUAUAAUGGUUAAUCAAAUUUUGAAGAAGGAUGUACAUGCAAAAAAUCAAGUCCUAAUCAAAUGGCUAGGUCAAUGUGAUUGUCUAAUGUUAAAAUUUCUACUCUUCCUGAAAAGGAAGAUAUGGAACCAAUAGACCUGCUAAUGUAAGAAUUGUUUCAAAACUGCUACCAUAACUAUCACAAUGAUCUUGAUAAAAAAGUUGAAAUUUUUUUGUUCUUUUAUCAGAAUUAACUAGGUGUCAAUAGUUUUUAAGAAUAGAAGGUAUUUGAAAUUGAAUAGUAUCUGGUUAAGUUACUUAAUGUGGGUUUGUUUUGCAUGUGCACAUUUGUAGAUUCAAAGACAAAUAGAGGCACUCAUAUUUAUGAAAUUUAAUUCAUUUGUUUGGUCUUUAGCACUUUUUUUGAGUCAUCCUGAUGUAAACGAUUUAGUGUUUUGUGCAUCACAUAAAAAGAUUUACCAAACUUAUUCACAAACACUAAACUUGGAAAGGAAGGUAGUGAGGAGUUAAGGUUGUCGAGAGGGAUCAUUAGAGAUUGGGUAUCUCAGUCAAACCUCAUUCUGGUAGGAUUUAAUGUGCAUCUAUUAUGACCAUAUCUUCUUUUCCCCAAUUUUUCAAGGGGUUCCCAUGUGUCAUCUUAUGUUGGUUCUUCAAUGCACCAAACAGACUUGUAGUGACCAAUCAGGAAAGCUAGUCAUGAAGUAGGUAGGAGGGAGAGAAGUGUCGGGAAAGAAGAAGUUGUUUGAUUGGUGAUUCAAUCUUAGAAUUCAUGAAACUUAGGUGUAUUGGUUCGGCUUUAUUUUAUUUAAAGUAAUAUAUGCUCUUGGGUGUGUUGGUUCCGCUUUAUUUUAUUUAAAGUAAUAUAUGCUCAUGGAAUGGGGGUUUCAUGUAGCAAUAUGCAUUCUUGGUCCUUGCUACCCGAAACAGGCUCUGACUCCUAAACACUAGUUCCUGAAUCCCGAGGAAGAUGUCUUUGCUUGCAAUGUGCACAUUGAUAUAUAAGGUCCUUAGCAAAUUGCUGGAAAUGGCUAGGUUGAAGAAGGAACAUCUCUUGAUUUUAUCCUUUGAUGUCAAAAACUUCUCUUUAGAAAAGUUAUCAUGGAACAACAAACAAAAACAUCAAGUUUGAUCGUGAUCUUUAUAGUUACAUAUCAUCCAUUUCAUGUUCAGUUAGAU